rnacentral:rRNA from 1 species
CGCGGCCUAUCAGCUUGUUGGUGGGGUAAUGGCCUACCAAGGCGACGACGGGUAGCCGGCCUGAGAGGGCGACCGGCCACACUGGAACUGAGACACGGUCCAGACUCCUACGGGAGGCAGCAGUGGGGAAUAUUGCACAAUGGGCGAAAGCCUGAUGCAGCGACGCCGCGUGAGGGACGACGGCCUUCGGGUUGUAAACCUCUUUCAGCAGGGACGAAGCGAAAGUGACUGUACCUGCAGAAGAAGCACCGGCUAACUACGUGCCAGCAGCCGCGGUAAUACGUAGGGUGCAAGCGUUGUCCGGAUUUAUUGGGCGUAAAGAGCUCGUAGGCGGUUUGUCGCGUCGGAUGUGAAAACCUAUGGCUUAACCAUGGGCCUGCAUUCGAUACGGGCAAACUAGAGUUCGGUAGGGGAGACUGGAACUCCUGGUGUAGCGGUGAAAUGCGCAGAUAUCAGGAAGAACACCGGUGGCGAAGGCGGGUCUCUGGGCCGAUACUGACGCUGAGGAGCGAAAGCGUGGGGAGCAAACAGGAUUAGAUACCCUGGUAGUCCACGCCGUAAACGUUGGGCGCUAGGUGUGGGGAACCUUCCACGUUCUCCGUGCCGUAGCUAACGCAUUAAGCGCCCCGCCUGGGGAGUACGGA